AAACACCUUCAAACUUAUUCCAACUUUCUCGCCUUCACUCCCCCUUUCAUAAUCUCACUUCAUUUAAUGCUUAACCUAGAGUGCGAAUCGAACAAAAUAAUACAAGAGCCCUAAAAAUGAAAACAAAAAUUAAAUGGCGAGGGCGAAGGGAGCGGAGUCCAAACCUUAUGGGUUUAGAUCCUUCAAAGAGAUGCUACAUCGUGGUAACUGUGAUAGUGAAAAUCAAAGAGGACGGGUGGAAAAGCUUACCUGUCAGAGCAACU
rnacentral:lncRNA from 1 species